GGGCAGCAUGAUGGUGUCACAGACCCACAUCGUCGUGUCUCUGUUACUCUGGGUGUCUGGUGGUCGUGGGGACAUUGUGAUGACUCAGUCUCCAGGGUCCCUGACUGUGUCAUCAGGAGAGAGGACCAGCUUGAGUUGCAAGUCCAGCCAGAGUCUAUUAUCUGGCUCCUAUAACUACUUGGCCUGGUAUCAGCAGAAACCAAGACAGGCUCCUAAGCUGCUGAUCUACGGGGCAUCCACACGAGCAUCUGGAGUCCCUGAUCGGUUCAGUGGCAGUGGGUCUGGGACAGACUUCACUCUCACCAUCAGCAAUGUCCAGGCGGAAGAUGCGGCAGACUAUUACUGUCAGCAGUCUUAUAGUGCUCCUCCCACAGUGCUUCGGCCUCGAACACAAACUUCCUCGAAGAGUAUCACCAGCUGCUUAGACGCCACAUGACCCUGAACACUUCCUCCAUCUGCCUGAGAGCCAGUGGGCAAGACUCAUCAAUGAGAAAGCCUGAAGAGUUCACCAGAAAAUGAUGUGUCCCCUAGAUCCUUGGUCUUUAGAUUAAAAAAAAAAAAUCUGGCCGGGCAUGGUGGCGCA